rnacentral:rRNA from 1 species
UACGAAGGGGGCUAGCGUCGCUCGGAAUCACUGGGCGUAAAGGGUGCGUAGGCGGGUCUUUAAGUCAGGGGUGAAAUCCUGGAGCUCAACUCCAGAACUGCCUUUGAUACUGAAGAUCUUGAGUUCGGGAGAGGUGAGUGGAACUGCGAGUGUAGAGGUGAAAUUCGUAGAUAUUCGCAAGAACACCAGUGGCGAAGGCGGCUCACUGGCCCGAUACUGACGCUGAGGCACGAAAGCGUGGGGGAGCAAACAGGG